rnacentral:lncRNA from 1 species
CCCAGCUCCUAGUAUGUAGAAGUAGGCAGGAUAUUGCCCCAAGUCUGAGGUUAACAUGGAUUACAUAGCAAGCUCCAGGCCAGUCAAGGAUACAGGGGGACCAUGUCUCAAAAGACUGAAAAACCUUUUAGAACUCUGGUUUCUGCCAACCAAGAGGCUAAGAGUCAUCAGACAGCAUCUGGAACCUAUAGCUGAGAUUUCUGUUUUGCUUAGUCAUCCACUUAAUGUUUCUCCCAAUGUGUUUAAGAAAAUGACUUGAUUUACAGCUUUAUUUGUUCCGUUCCUUCCUAUAAAAACCUCACCCGACUGUUACCACGUUGGAACAUAGAGUUUGUGGUAACUUAAAUUUGUGUUCCUGGGCCAUGAUCACUCAGAUAUGGCUCCAAAAUAAAGUAUCUCCUAUCCCCUUUGAGGUGAGAGUCUGCCUGGCACAUAAAUUUGUAUGCUAUUUAAAUUGAAUGCCUUCCCUAUCAUAAUCACUGUUAACUCAGUCUGUGACCUCCUGCUGCUCCCAGCUGAAAAUGGGUGUUUAGACCAAAAGGUGGGUUGCUGAAAAGCCAGGUGAGCCUUGAUUGCAGCUGGAGACAGGGUCUGAGCAGGGAGGGGACAGAGGAACCUCUUGCCAGCACCGGGACAAACCUGUCUAUGGUCUAGCUGCCUAGAUUCUCUUUUGAUGAGGGUCCCUAACAGGCCAGGUCCCCAUGAUGGGGGAGGAGUCUCACAUCAGUUGUUGCGGAAGGAAGAUUGCCGCCAGUGAGCAGGCAGGAGCCACACCCAGUAGAGGUGAGUCUAAGUGGGAGGGGCCGUGGUGGAAUGAGUCACACUUGAGUCACCCCUGAGUGACUCAGAAACAGGAAUGGAGUCCGCUGCAGGGAGGACAGCGGGACAGGAAAUUCCAGGCCGACUGAAGGGAGGGACAAGGGUCUGGAGAUGGUGAACAUGAUCACAAACAUUAAGACGUUUAGGAACAAGAGGGGAGGCUGCGGAGCAGGGAGCGGAGCCCGCACAAGCGGGAGAAAGAAGGAGCUGUGUGUCAGGACAAAUGACAAAUACAUCUUUAUCACAGGGGGUGAUGGUGUUAUUGGGCAGAUACAGAAACAGGAAAAAAUACCUGUGAGGGCUAUUCUUGGCCGUCAACUUGACUACAUCUGGGACUAACUAAAAUGCAAAUGUCUGGGCACAUCUGUGAGGAAUGUUUUUCUUAAUUACGUCAUUUGAUGUGGGAAGACCUACUUCUAAUCUGGACCUUUGGGGUGGGAAGAUCCACCUUUAGUCUGGACCACGCUUCAUGGUGACUGCCUCUGUAAAGGGCACAGAAGAAAGAAGUUCGCUUUCUUUUUGCCUAGAGCACAAAUAAUAAAAAACCCAGAGACAGAUAUUUGGUUUCA